UGGGGAAUUUUGGACAAUGGGCGAAAGCCUGAUCCAGCAAUGCCGCGUGUGUGAAGAAGGCCUUCGGGUUGUAAAGCACUUUUGUCCGGAAAGAAAUCCUUGGCUCUAAUACAGUCGGGGGAUGACGGUACCGGAAGAAUAAGCACCGGCUAACUACGUGCCAGCAGCCGCGGUAAUACGUAGGGUGCAAGCGUUAAUCGGAAUUACUGGGCGUAAAGCGUGCGCAGGCGGUUUGCUAAGACCGAUGUGAAAUCCCCGGGCUCAACCUGGGAACUGCAUUGGUGACUGGCAGGCUAGAGUAUGGCAGAGGGGGGUAGAAUUCCACGUGUAGCAGUGAAAUGCGUAGAGAUGUGGAGGAAUACCGAUGGCGAAGGCAGCCCCCUGGGCCAAUACUGACGCUCAUGCACGAAAGCGUGGGGGAGCAAAACAGGAUUAGAUACCCUGGUAGUCCACGCCCUAAAUGAUGUCAACUAGUUGUUGGGGAUUCAUUUUCCUUAGUAACGUAGGCUAACGCGUGAAGUUGACCGCCUGGGGAGUACGGUCGCAAGAUUAAAACUCAAAGGAAUUG
rnacentral:rRNA from 1 species